rnacentral:siRNA from 1 species
UAUAGGAGAUGACAUAAGAGCGAA